rnacentral:rRNA from 1 species
AAAGAUUUAUCGGGAAAGGAUGAGCCCGCGUUGGAUUAGCUAGUUGGUGGGGUAAAGGCCUACCAAGGCGACGAUCCAUAGCUGGUCUGAGAGGAUGAUCAGCCACAUUGGGACUGAGACACGGCCCAAACUCCUACGGGAGGCAGCAGUGGGGAAUAUUGGACAAUGGGCGCAAGCCUGAUCCAGCCAUGCCGCGUGAGUGAUGAAGGCCCUAGGGUUGUAAAGCUCUUUCACCGGUGAAGAUAAUGACGGUAACCGGAGAAGAAGCCCCGGCUAACUUCGUGCCAGCAGCCGCGGUAAUACGAAGGGGGCUAGCGUUGUUCGGAAUUACUGGGCGUAAAGCGCACGUAGGCGGAUUGUUAAGUGAGGGGUGAAAUCCCAGGGCUCAACCCUGGAACUGCCUUUCAUACUGGCAAUCUAGAGUCCAGAAGAGG